UGAGUUAGUAUGACAGGGUAUAAUCUUUCACCUUUUACUAAAGAUUUCCGUGAAGAGAACUACCUGAGUUCUUAGCUGAAUUCUUGAGGCCUUGCUUCAGCAGGGC
rnacentral:snRNA from 1 species